rnacentral:tRNA from 3 species
GCUCGGGUGGUGAAAUUGGCAGACACGCAAGAUUCAGGUUCUUGUGCCCGCAAGGGUGUAGGGGUUCAAGUCCCCUCUCGAGCACCG